rnacentral:rRNA from 1 species
UCGAGGAUCUUCGGCAAUGGGCGCAAGCCUGACCGAGCGACGCCGCGUGUGCGACGAAGGCCUUCGGGUUGUAAAGCACUGUCGAGGGGGAGGAAAGCCGAAAGGUUUGACCUAUCCCUGGAGGAAGCACGGGCUAAGUUCGUGCCAGCAGCCGCGGUAAGACGAACCGUGCGAACGUUGUUCGGAAUCACUGGGCUUAAAGGGCGCGUAGGCGGUCCACCAAGUCAGGGGUGAAAUCUUUCGGCUUAACCGGAAAAGUGCCUUUGAUACUGGUGGACUCGAGGGAGGUAGGGGCAGAUGGAACUGGUGGUGGAGCGGUGAAAUGUGUAGAUAUCACUAGGAACGCCGGUGGCGAAAGCGAUCUGCUGGACCUCUACUGACGCUGAGGCGCGAAAGCCAGGGGAGCAAACGG